UGCUGGCGACCUAUUCCCUUUGACGAUCCCUAGGUGGAGAUGGGGCAUGAGGAUCCUCCAGGGGAAUAGCUCACCACCACUGGGCAACAGGCCUAGUCCAUAUUUCAGUGAGACGCUUUCCUGAACCCAGCAAGGAAGACAAAGGCUCAAAGAAUGCCACCCUACAUCAAACUUCUUUUGUUCUUUGUAGUGCCAUCUACCAAAUAUUACCCUUCCCCAAAGCAGCACAGAAAACUGGGUCUUCAGCAUGAUCAAGCAAUGUGAACACACAAAAGGAAGGCAGCUUUAUAAAUGACCCGAGGAUCAACAUGCCUGACUGCAGCAUCUUAAAAGCAAUAGAAGGAGGUAA
ensembl:lincRNA